UACGUAGGGGGCUAGCGUUGUCCGGAAUCAUUGGGCGUAAAGCGCGCGUAGGCGGCCCGGUAAGUCCGUUGUGAAAGUCAAAGGCUCAACCUUUGAAAGCCGAUGGAUACUGCCGGGCUGGAGUCCGGAAGAGGGGAGUGGAAUUCCUGGUGUAGCGGUGAAAUGCGUAGAGAUCAGGAGGAACACCCGUGCGAAGGCGCUCCU
rnacentral:rRNA from 1 species